AGUGAACGCUGGCGGUAGGCCUAACACAUGCAAGUCGAACGGCAGCACAGUAAGAGCUUGCCCUUACGGGUGGCGAGUGGCGGACGGGUGAGGAAUACAUCGGAAUCUACUUUUUCGUGGGGGAUAACGUAGGGAAACUUACGCUAAUACCGCAUACGACCUACGGGUGAAAGCAGGGGAUCUUCGUACCUUGCGCGAUUGAAUGAGCCGAUGUCGGAUUAGCUAGUUGGCGGGGUAAAGGCCCACCAAGGCGACGAUCCGUAGCUGGUCUGAGAGGAUGAUCAGCCACACUGGAACUGAGACACGGUCCAGACUCCUACGGGAGGCAGCAGUGGGGAAUAUGGGACAAUGGGCGCAAGCCUGAUCCAGCCACACCGCGUGGGUGAAGAAGGCCUUCGGGUUGUAAAGCCCUUUUGUUGGGAAAGAAAAGCAGCAGGUUAAUACCCCGCUGUUCUGACGGUACCCAAAGAAUAAGCACCGGCUAACUUCGU
rnacentral:rRNA from 1 species